rnacentral:lncRNA from 1 species
UGCGUCUCGACUCAGAGGUUAGAUCUCCAUGGCGUGUUGCUUCCACCAUUCUAAGAAUAAUCGUUGCAACAACUCCGUUAUGGAUGUCUAUGGGAUUAUAAGAAUCGAUCUGAUUGUUAUCGUCACAAACCCUCCUUCAUAAACAGAUUUGCCUCCUCUCUCUCUCUGUUUCUCCUGAAUUCCCGGGAAACUCGAGAUCAUACCUGCUCCGGAGCAUUGCUACUGUGAAUCAACACGGGAAAUAUACUCCGCUUGGAACGCCUCCAUUUGAUUGUGAAGGAUUCUUGUAGCACAACCGGUAACCAUUGACAACCGUACGAAUCUUAACUCUUAAUGAUUUCGCAGCUGAGGUCUUUGUGGAGGCUGGUUGACAAAGAAGCAGUGAAGCCCUCGACAAACAAAAGCAUAACCGCAGUUCAUGUAGUACCAAGGUAACUUGGAGCACCAAUGGAACCGAACACGCCAAUGACAAAACUAAGGAAGGCGGAAAAUGGGAAGAACUUAUGACACCCACAACAAAACACAUGUAAACAAUGACUUAGAAGUAUCAUAUCAUCUUCAUCUUGGUUGUUUUUGUUAGUUUGUGUUUUAGAACUCGCAAGUCAUAGAUCUUUACAUUUUUUAUUUUAUUUUUUCACAUGUAUUGUUCUAUCUAAGCACAUUUCCUCCAUAUAUUGUGAGUUCAUAGAAAUUUGUAAAUUUUUUUGGU